ACCCUUGUGCAGUGCAUGAGCGUGAUGACUGGCGUUCACACUCAUGUAUGCAAUGUGCCUCCCUCACACCUUGCUACGACGUCGGCACAUUAAGCAUCUGACA